UGAGGAAUAUUGGUCAAUGGGCGGGAGCCUGAACCAGCCAAGCCGCGUGAGGGAAGAAGGCCCUAUGGGUCGUAAACCUCUUUUGUCAGGGAACAAAAGCGAGUAUGUAUACUAGUCUGAGUGUACCUGAAGAAAAAGCAUCGGCUAACUCCGUGCCAGCAGCCGCGGUAAUACGGAGGAUGCGAGCGUUAUCCGGAUUUAUUGGGUUUAAAGGGUGCGUAGGCGGCGAUGCAAGUCAGCGGUAAAAGCCCGGGGCUCAACCCCGGCGAGCCGUUGAAACUCAGUGCUAGAGAAGGCGAGAGGUACGCGGAAUGCGCAGUGUAGCGGUGAAAUGCUUAGAUAUUGCGCAGAACUCCGAUUGCGAAGGCAGCGUACUGGCGCCUGACUGACGCUGAGGCACGAAAGCGUGGGGAUCGAACAGGAUUAGAUACCC
rnacentral:rRNA from 1 species